GAUGAAGAACGCAGCGAAAUGCGAUACUUGGUGUGAAUUGCAGAAUCCCGUGAACCAUCGCGUCUUUGAACGCAAGUUGCGCCCGAAGCCAUUAGGCCGAGGGCACGCCUGCCUGGGCGUCACACGUCGUUGCCCCCCCCAUCUACUCCUUCGGGAUUGCGGGGGGCGGAUGAUGGCCUCCCGUGCGCCUCGCCGCGCGGUUGGCAUAAAUGCCAAGUCCUCGGCGACGCACGCCACGACAAUCGGUGGUUGCGAAACCUCGGUUGCCCGUCGUGUGCGGUCGUCGCGCAUUGAGGGCUCGAAAAAAUUGCCGAGUUCCGGCUCGGCUUUCAACGCGACCCCAGGUCAGGCGGGGUUACCCGCUGAAUUUAAGCAUAUCAAUAAGCGGAGGA
rnacentral:misc_RNA from 1 species